rnacentral:rRNA from 1 species
AACGAACGCUGGCGGCAUGCCUAACACAUGCAAGUCGAACGAGACCUUCGGGUCUAGUGGCGCACGGGUGCGUAACGCGUGGGAACCUGCCCUUAGGUUCGGAAUAACUCCCCGAAAGGGGUGCUAAUACCGGAUAAUGUCUUCGGACCAAAGAUUUAUCGCCUUUGGAUGGGCCCGCGUUGGAUUAGCUAGUUGGCAGGGUAAAAGCCUACCAAGGCGACGAUCCAUAGCUGGUCUGGGAGGAUGAUCAGCCACACUGGGACUGAGACACGGCCCAGACUCCUACGGGAGGCAGCAGUGGGGAAUAUUGGACAAUGGGCGAAAGCCUGAUCCAGCAAUGCCGCGUGAGUGAUGAAGGCCUUAGGGUUGUAAAGCUCUUUUACCCGGGAUGAUAAUGACAGUACCGGGAGAAUAAGCUCCGGCUAACUCCGUG